AAGACGAAUAAGUCGUUUAAAGUUCUAGAUAAAAGAUUUAUAAUGAAUAAUUUUUAUCUAUAAGUCUUGACCAAAUUACGUGCCAGCAGUCGCGGUAAUACGUAGAAGACAAGUGUUAUUCAUCUUUAACAGGUUUAAAGGGUACCUAGACGGAAAAUCAAGCCAUAGCAGGGACUAGUUUUCUAGGGUUUUAUGGGUGAAGAUCGAAUUAUCUGAGAAGCAAUAUAAUGCUAUGAUACAGGUGAGACGGGCCGCGGCGAAGGCAAUCUUCUAUGUAAAAACUGACGUUGAGGGACGAAGCCUUGGGGAGCGAUAAGGAUUAGAUACCCUAGUAGUCCAAGGAGAAAAUGAUGAGUGCCAUAGACUAGGUACUAGUUUAUAAAUGAAAGUGUAAGCAUUCCACCUCAUAAGUAAAGCGGCAACGCCGAAAUUGAAAUCAUUAGACCGUAUCUGAAACCAGUAGUGAAGUAUGUUAUUUAAUUCGAUGGUCCGCGAAUAACCUUACCACCUCUUGAAUAAUAUUUUUUUUUGUUUUGGGAUUUAUUUUUCUUACAAGCGCUGCACGGCUGUCUUCAGUUAAUAUCGUGAGAUUUUGGUUAGCUCCAUAAAUUAACGAAAACCCUUGUUUUAUUUUUUUAUAUAUAAAGCAGUUCACCGUUAUAUUGGAUAAGAUAAACGGGAUCA
rnacentral:rRNA from 1 species